AUUGAACGCUGGCGGCAGGCCUAACACAUGCAAGUCGAACGCGUGGCGGACGGGUGUGUAAUGUCUGGGAAAGUGCGUGAUGGAGGGGGAUCACUAGUGGACACGGUCGCAAAUACCGCAUACAAUAAGAUGUGCCCAUAUGGGAUUAGCUUGUUGGUGGGGUAACGGCUCACAAAGGCGACGAUCCCUAGCUGGUCUGAGAGGAUGACCAGCCACACUGGGACCGAGACACGGGCCAGACUCCUACGGGAGGCAGCAGUGGGGAAUAUUGCACAAUGGGCGCAAGCCUGAUGCAGCCAUGCCGCGUGUAUGAAGAAGGCCUUCGGGUUGUAAAGUACUUUCAGCGGGGAGGCGUUACCCGCAGAAGAAGCACCGGCUAACUCCGUGCCAGCAGCCGCGGUAAUUC
rnacentral:rRNA from 1 species